GCGGACGGGUGAGUAAUGUCUGGGAAACUGCCUGAUGGAGGGGGAUAACUACUGGAAACGGUAGCUAAUACCGCAUAACGUCGCAAGACCAAAGAGGGGGACCUUCGGGCCUCUUGCCAUCGGAUGUGCCCAGAUGGGAUUAGCUAGUAGGUGGGGUAACGGCUCACCUAGGCGACGAUCCCUAGCUGGUCUGAGAGGAUGACCAGCCACACUGGAACUGAGACACGGUCCAGACUCCUACGGGAGGCAGCAUG
rnacentral:rRNA from 1 species